CCGGUUCCGGUUCACGCUCUCGAAUGGCGAGGGCGACCCGGCGACC
rfam:Rhodococcus sp. EPR-157 Scaffold16_5, whole genome shotgun sequence.